CCUACGGGAGGCAGCAGUGAGGAAUAUUGGUCAAUGGACGCAAGUCUGAACCAGCCAUGCCGCGUGCAGGAAGACGGCUCUAUGAGUUGUAAACUGCUUUUGUACGAGGGUAAACUCAGAUACGCGUAUCUGUCUGAAAGUAUCGUACGAAUAAGGAUCGGCUAACUCCGUGCCAGCAGCCGCGGUAAUACGGAGGAUUCAAGCGUUAUCCGGAUUUAUUGGGUUUAAAGGGUGCGUAGGCGGUCGGAUAAGUUAGUGGUGAAAGCCCGAGGCUCAACUUCGGAAUUGCCUCUGAUACUGGUCGGCUAGAGAGUAGUUGCGGUAGGCGGAAUGUAUGGUGUAGCGGUGAAAUGCUUAGAGAUCAUGAAGAACACCGAUUGCGAAGGCAGCUUACCAAGCUACUUCUGACGUUGAGGCACGAAAGCGUGGGGAGCAAACAGGAUUAGAUACCCGGGUAGUC
rnacentral:rRNA from 1 species